GGGUGCGUGGUUCAGUGGGAGAAUGCUUCCUUCACGCGGAAGAGGUCGCAGGUUCGAUCCCUGCCGCACCCA
rnacentral:tRNA from 1 species